CUUUAAAAAUCUGGAUCAAGCUGAAAAUUGAAACGACACACGUAAAGUGUGUAUGAGUCUCUCAAAUUUUCGCAACACGAAGUGUUUCACGAAACAUCUUCGG
rnacentral:sRNA from 19 species